rnacentral:rRNA from 1 species
UACAGAGGGUGCAAGCGUUAAUCGGAAUUACUGGGCGUAAAGCGUGCGUAGGUGGAUAUUUAAGUUGGAUGUGAAAGCCCCGGGCUCAACCUGGGAUUGUCAUUCAAAACUGGAUGUCUAGAGUACAGUAGAGGAAAGUGGAAUUUCAGGUGUAGCGGUGAAAUGCGUAGAUAUCUGAAGGAACAUCAGUGGCGAAGGCGACUUUCUGGGCUGAUACUGACACUGAGGUACGAAAGCGUGGGGAGCGAACAGG